ensembl:snoRNA SNORD123 small nucleolar RNA, C/D box 123
GGUGAAAAGGAUGAAUUCUGGGGUGCUGAUUCAUGUGACUUGAAAAGUGCCAUCCAUUUCCUGAUUCACC